UGCCGCUGGAGCACAAUUUCUGUUCUCAUCCUGAAAGCAAAGUUCUUAACCCGAGGUAAUAUUUCUGGGUUAGCGGAGUCUGUAACCUGAAGCUGUAACCACUGUACCCAUCUGCUGACAAACCUCUACAUAUCUGCAAUAAAAGCCACACUAUCCUUGUGUGCUGCAGAGAGACGAGCUACUUUGUUGCCGGGUCACCGAAGCUCAUGUCCGCAGACCCCUCUGGAGAGUUUCACCAGGUGGCUACUUGAGGAUGUGAACAAGGAUGCCAAGUAGACCUUCACCUCCUACGCCAUCUUAUAGUACGUAUCAUUAUGUGCACUAAGUUGUGUUCACUCAACUUCUUGUGCAGGUCUUGUGCCACUCAUGCUCUAGACAUCAUUUGGCCUGUUUCAUUGCCAUCAGUGACUCAAGGGCCUCAACUGGAUGGCCAGCUCUAGCCACUGGGAAAUCCCACCCCCACUAGAGCACACAGGCAGGCAUCCAUUAGAUAAAAUUAGUUUCUGGGGGCAGACUACCCAAAGAGGUCACCCUCUCCUGCAGGGAGGAAUUGCUGUUGCAAAGCUUAACUGAGCAGAAGUGUGGCUCUUUUUAGCAAGUCAUCCAUAAAUUUAAAAGGUGCUCUUGAUAAACUGGACAGAAGAUUUAAAAUAUAAGUAUAUGCUUUUGUGGUAUUUUUAUGCAUUGCGAUUCGCUGUUAUUUUUAUUGAUUAUAGAUUAGUAAUUCUUAUUGUAAUUGAUAAGUGUAAACUGUUUAAUUAUUAUUUGCUGCUGUUUAAUUUUACUGUUUACUAUUAGAUCUUAAUGGCUUAUCCAGUAUUGUUUAUUUGAUAUAAGUUGUUUGUUUUAAGGUUACUGUGACAUUUUUUAUAUCGGAUCAGAUUGUUUUUAUUAAUGUUUGGUGUUUUAUUAUAUUUUUAUAUGUUUUUGAAGCCACCCAGAGUGGCUGGGGCAACCCAGACAGCUGGGCAGGGUAUAUAUUAAAAAAUAGUAUUAUUAAUAUUAAAAAUGCAGAUUGCAAGCAUCAUCUUAAGAGACACUUAGCAUUUACUUCCAAUUCCACAGAAUGCUGCUUCUAAAGAAGACUGUGACAAGUUAAACCAGGAGGGGUUGGAGAAGGAAUUAUAGCAGAAAAGGAGCAAGUGUGAUAGCGGUGAGGAGGAUGCGCUGGGAAGACAGUCUGAGCGCAGCACCGACCAGGCAAAAGGCAUCACUGCUCUCUGGCUUCCCCCGAUGGGCAUCCCUGAUUUAGACAGCAGGAUCCAGUCAUUCUAAAGGCAAGCAAGAGCAGAAGUGUGGCCCGCAGGAUCUGCGUUGGAAAAGGGGAUACGCCUGAACUGGGCAAAAGCCAGAAUGCGGGCAAUAUGUCCUCAAUGAACCAUGGAACUGUAGAGUUGGAAGGGACCACAAACAUCCCGUGUAUCAAAGACCAUGUGCUGAAUUGACAACAUUGGGAAAACUGGGGUUUCCAAAUGGUCGAUGAAACCCAGGCGCCAGUGUACGCUGCAAUCCUGACCCUAUCAAGAUCUGAUGAAAUGUUAAUAUUCAAUGUACUCAGCAGGACUUCUUCCUGACUAUAUGUAGUUAGGAUUGCACUGCCACUCAGAAGUUUGAUGAGGGCAGCCAGCCAGGCAGAAUAGCUCUGACGCGGUUUCUCAUUGGCCCUGUGCCUUCAGCCAUAAUUAGGAAAGUCACUACACUGCUACUAAGGGAGGGGAGAAAGCGGGAAACGUGCGGCAUUAGUCAGCAAUAGCCAACCGUUUGAUCUGUUUGCCACACAACAGCUUAUGAUCAGGAGCAGUCCAUAUGGGAUAGAUGACUUUACAGCAUAUCCUUCAAGUCUCACAGGUAAUGUUUACCCACCACAAUGUUGCAUAAUAUUUGUUAUGUUGUUUGUGCUCAUCACACUUGUCAUACGACAAAUGCUAAAUUUGCUUUCAAUAGAGCCAAAAGCCCAGUGGAAGUAUGGGAUCUUUUCACUAUAAAGGAUUUUAAGAGGAAUCUGUUUGGAUGGCUUUAGUCUGAAAAAUACUACCAUUUCUAGCAAUUGCACUAGAUGACUCUUGACAAAUGUUUGAACCAUGACCUGGCCUCACCACAUCAGAGUUCUCACCUUAUUUGAUUUCUUGCUUGUUGCAGAACCUGGUCGUGUAUUACUAUUCAACUGUGAUGAACUUGAGCUGUCUUCAUCCUCCUCGUCCUCCUCUUCAUCAAAGUUCAUGCUACUUGAAAUGCCUACGGGACAUGCAUCACAUUUACAGAUUUAAAAAAGGCUUUAUAAUAUUCAGUUUGAAUAUACAUCUCAAUUGCUAUGAUAAUUCUCUGAUUUUCAGAGACGGCAUACUUUUGGUGACUGGAUUCUAGGUAUUUACAACAGAAGAUGGAAACCGUCUUUUUAUUGUUAUUAUUUAUCAUUUUUAUUUGUCGUAUAGCAAUCUGAAACACGUGUAAUGCAACAAAUAAACAUUAAUACAGAAUAACAAGA